ACCUGAAGUUGCCAGCAGCCUCGUAUCAGUGUGAAUCUUCCACUCUGACGCAACAGCUUAAGUACAUGGAAACGUCUUUGUGAAGUCAAAUGACUUCUUUAAGGUAUUUGCUCUACAGCUUCAACUUCCUUUCUCUCCUUCUUCCCCCUGGCUCCAGUUCUGAACUUUUUUAUGUUUCUGUAAGGUGGAGCUAACAAUACUUGGUAAUAACACCACAUACGUUGAACUUUCUGCAGCGACCCACUGAGAAGAGAAGAAGCAGAAAAUUCAGCAAUGGCUAAAAUAUUCACCAGCAAGAGAAGAGAGACAGAGACAGUUCCACUCAUGACUCCCCAAGACAAAAUGGCCCUCAGGGUCAUAGCUGCAGUCUUUUCUCCUAGAUGUAAAACAAUGGGUAAUAAAAGUAUAAUAAUAAUAAUAAU